ensembl:lncRNA
GCUGGGUGGGUUGGUUUAGUGCGCUGGGCUGGGUGGCUUGGUUUGUAGGGUCUGGGCUUAGUGGCUGGGUGUCUUGGUUGGUGUUUGGGGGGUCUCGGCCCUCAGUCUUUCCAGGGUUCCGAGUGGUGGUGGGUCAGAUGAGGUCAGAGGGUCCUGAAGAACACAGGCCAUGAAGAUAAACAGAGAGGGGAGAGAGAAACAGAGAGGAGAGAGACAGAGAUAAACAGAGAGGAGAGAGAAACAGAGUGGGGAGAGAGAAACAAAGAGGAGAGACAGAGAUAAACAGAGAGGAGAGAGAAACAGAGAGGAGAGAGACAGAGAGAAACAGAGAGGAGAGAGAAACAGAGAGGAGAGAGACAGAGAGAAACAGAGAGGAGAGAGACAGAGAUAAACAGAGAGGGGAGAGAGAAACAGAGAGGAGAGAGACAGAGAUAAACAGAGAGGAGAGAGACAGAGAUAAACAGAGUGGGGAGAGAGAAACAGAGAGGAGAGAGACAGAGAUAAACAGAGAGGAGAGAGACAGAGAUAAACAGAGAGGAGAGAGAAACAGAGAGGAGAGAGACAGAGAUAAACAGAGAGGAGAGAGAAACAGAGAGGAGAGAGACAGAGAUAAACAGAGUGGGGAGAGAGAAACAGAGAGGAGAGAGACAGAGAUAAACAGAGAGGAGAGAGACAGAGAUAAACAGAGUGGGGAGAGAGAAACAGAGAGGAGAGAGACAGAGAUAAACAGAGAGGGGAGAGAGAAACAGAGAGGAGAGAGACAGAGAUAAACAGAGAGGGGAGAGAGAAACAGAGAGGAGAGAGAGAGAG